UACGUAGGGGGCAAGCGUUGUCCGGAUUUACUGGGCGUAAAGAGCGUGUAGGCGGCCAAACAGGUCCGUUGUGAAAACUCGAGGCUUAACCUCGAGAUGUCAUCGGAAACCAUUUGGCUAGAGUCCGGAAGAGGAAAGUGGAAUUCCUGGUGUAGCGGUGAAAUGCGCAGAUAUCAGGAAGAACACCAAUGGCGAAAGCAGCUUUCUGGGACGGUACUGACGCUGGAGACGCGAAAGCGUGGGGAGCGAACAGG
rnacentral:rRNA from 1 species